rfam:Homo sapiens chromosome 16, GRCh38 reference primary assembly.
GCUGGGUAUGGUGGCACACGCCUGUAAUUCUAGCCACUCAGGAAGCUGAGGCAGGAGGAUUGCUUGAGCCAGGGAGUUCCAGGCUGCAGUGAGCUGAGGAUGUGCCACUGCACUCCGGCCUGGGCAACAGAGCAAGACCCUGUCUCUU